rnacentral:hammerhead_ribozyme from 1 species
AUCCAGCUGACGAGUCCCAAACAGGAUGAAGCGCGUGUCUCGGAU